rnacentral:rRNA from 1 species
UACGUAGGGACCAAGCGUUGUUCGGAUUUACUGGGCGUAAAGGGCGCGUAGGCGGCAAUUCAAGUCAUCUGUGAAAUCUCCGAGCUUAACUCGGAACGGUCAGAUGAUACUGCUUUGCUAGAGUGCAGAAGGGGCAAUCGGAAUUCUUGGUGUAGCGGUGAAAUGCGUAGAUAUCGAGAGGAACACCGGUGGCGAAGGCGGCCUUCUGGACAGUGACUGACGCUGAGACGCGAAAGCGUGGGGAGCAAACAGG